AUUGAACGCUGGCGGCAUGCCUUACACAUGCAAGUCGAACGGUAACAGGUCUUCGGAUGCUGACGAGUGGCGAACGGGUGAGUAAUACAUCGGAACGUGCCUAGUAGUGGGGGAUAACUACUCGAAAGAGUGGCUAAUACCGCAUGAGAUCUACGGAUGAAAGCAGGGGAUCGCAAGACCUUGUGCUACUAGAGCGGCCGAUGGCAGAUUAGGUAGUUGGUGGGAUAAAAGUUUACCAAGCCGACGAUCUGUAGCUGGUCCGAGAGGACGAUCAGCCACACUGGGACUGAGACACGGCCCAGACUCCUACGGGAGGCAGCAGUGGGGAAUUUUGGACAAUGGGCGCAAGCCUGAUCCAGCAAUGCCGCGUGCAGGAUGAAGGCCUUCGGGUUGUAAACUGCUUUUGUACGGAACGAAAAGCCCUGGGUUAAUACCCUGGGGUCAUGACGGUACCGUAAGAAUAAGCACCGGCUAACUACGUGCCAGCCGCCGCCGUAA
rnacentral:rRNA from 1 species